rnacentral:misc_RNA from 1 species
AUUCAUCGCGACCCGAGGUUUCGUGCCUCGGGCCCGCGGAAGUGGGGGCCUGCCGCGGCGAUGCGGCUCCCCUCAAAUGCAUCGGUGGGGUCUCCGGACAUCCCGGGCGUUGUAUUGUCCUCGUCCGACCAUGGGUUCCGGCUCUGCCCCCGCCUCGACCGUUCCGUGCGAGCGGCGGUCAGUCUAAUGCUUUGAA